rnacentral:snRNA from 1 species
UGUCCUCCACAGGAGGUCUAUAUUGAGCAGAUUUUUUUUUGGUGUUGGGUGGUGGAACCAGAGCUUGCUCCAUCCACUCCAUGCAUUGACCUGGUAUACCAGUGCUUCCAGGACCGGUGC